rnacentral:rRNA from 1 species
UGGGGAAUAUUGCACAAUGGGGGGAACCCUGAUGCAGCAACGCCGCGUGAAGGAAGAAGUAUUUCGGUAUGUAAACUUCUAUCGACAGGGAAGAAAUAAAUGACGGUACCUGAAUAAGAAGCACCGGCUAAAUACGUGCCAGCAGCCGCGGUAAUACGUAUGGUGCAAGCGUUAUCCGGAUUUACUGGGUGUAAAGGGUGAGUAGGCGGUUAUGCAAGUCAUAUGUGAAAUUCUGGGGCUCAACUUCAGAGCUGCAUAAGAAACUGUGUAACUAGAGUACAGGAGAGGUAAGCGGAAUUCCUAGUGUAGCGGUGAAAUGCGUAGAUAUUAGGAAGAACACCGGUGGCGAAGGCGGCUUACUGGACUGAAACUGACGCUGAGUCACGAAAGCGUGGGGAGCGAACAG